GGGUCGGUAGCUCAAUGGUAGAGCAAAGGACUCUUAAUCCUUAGGUCGUGGGUUCGACUCCCACCCGACUCA
rnacentral:tRNA from 1 species